rnacentral:rRNA from 1 species
AGCAUAUCAAUAAGCGGAGGAUAUACAAACCAACCCGGGAUUGCCUCAGUAACGGCGAGUGAAGCGGCAAGAGCUCAAAUUUGAAAUCUGGCCCCUUUGGGGUCCGAGUUGUAAUUUGCAGAGGAUGCUUCGGGUGCGGUCCCCGUCUAAGUGCCCUGGAACGGGCCGUCAUAGAGGGUGAGAAUCCCGUCUGGGAUGGGCGGCCGCGCCCGUGUGAAGCUCCUUCGACGAGUCGAGUUGUUUGGGAAUGCAGCUCUAAGCGGGUGGUAAAUUUCAUCUAAAGCUAAAUACUGGCCGGAGACCGAUAGCGCACAAGUAGAGUGAUCGAAAGAUGAAAAGCACUUUGAAAAGAGAGUUAAACAGCACGUGAAAUUGUUGAAAGGGAAGCGUUGUCCACCAGACUCGCCCGGGGGGGUUCAGCCGGCACGUGUGCCGGCGUACUCCUCUCCGGGCGGGCCAGCAUCGGUUUGGGCGGCUGGUGAAAGGCCCCGGGAAUGUAACACCCUUCGGGGUGCCUUAUAGCCCGGGGUGCCAUACAGCCAGCCUGGACCGAGGCCCGCGCUUCGGCGAGGAUGCUGGCGUAAUGGUGGUCAACGGCCCGUCUUGAAACACGGACCAAGGAGUCUAACAUCUAUGCGAGUGUUCGGGUGUCAAACCCGUCCGCGCAGUGAAAGCGAACGGAGGUGGGAGCCCCUCGGGGCGCACCAUCGACCGAUCCUGAUGUCUUCGGAUGGAUUUGAGUAAGAGCAUAGCUGUUGGGACCCGAAAGAUGGUGAACUAUGCCUGAAUACGGGCGAAGCCGGAGGAAACUCUGGUGGAGGCUCGCAGCGGUUCUGACGUGGCAAAUCGAUCGUCAAAUUUGGGGUAUAGGGGGCGAAAGGACUAAUCGGAACCAUCUU